GCUGGAUUUUCUUGACAAAGCUUGAUCUGUCUUUUUCAUUGCAUGAUAAUCUUGUUCUUCACAAAAUCUCCAUCACUGUUGCUUGCCAUGGUUAAAAAUAAAGUUUAAAAUAUAUGGGUUAAAAAUGGGUUUAAAAUAUUUUAUUUUUAUUCUUAAAAAUUGCAGCAACAGGAAUGUUGAAAAUAUGUUGAAACUUCUUCUCCACAUGUAGCUUGAA
rnacentral:lncRNA from 1 species